rnacentral:rRNA from 1 species
GUCGAACGCUGGCGGCAGGCCUAACACAUGCAAGUCGACCGAGCGGCGGACGGGUGAGUAAUGUCUGGGAAACUGCCUGAUGGAGGGGGAUAACUACUGGAAACGGUAGCUAAUACCGCAUACCAUCGGAUGUGCCCAGAUGGGAUUAGCUAGUAGGUGGGGUAAUGGCUCACCUUGGCGACGAUCCCUAGCUGGUCUGAGAGGAUGACCAGCCACACUGGAACUGAGACACGGUCCAGAAUCAUACGGGAGGCAGCAGUGGGGAAUAUUGCACAAUGGGCGCAAGCCUGAUGCAGCCAGGCCGCGUGUAUGAAGAAGGCCUUCGGGUUGUAAAGUACUUUCAGCGGGGAGGCGUUACGCGCAGAAGAAGCACCGGCUAACUCCGUGCCAGCAGCCGCGGUAAUUC